CUUCGCUUCCCUAAGUGCGUUCCCCCAGGGGCCCGGCAGUGUGCUAGGGGCACCCUGCUUCGUAAGUGAGGCAGACAGCCCGUGAUAAAUGCCAAAGUAGAAGCCCCUCCGAAAAAUUAAGGAGCCGAUUGGGCGGGACUAACCCUAAGGGAGGGCAGGGGAAGCGACCGUCACCUCCGGGCGCCGGGGACUCGGAACGCCGGGUCGGAGCUCGGCAGGCGGAGAAAUGUAAGCUCCAUGAGGUCAUGGAUUGUGUAUUUUGUUCACUGCUGUAUUCCCUGAGCCUGGAACAGUGCCUGACACAUAGUAGAUGCGCAGUAAAUAUUUGGUGAAUGAAUGAACAAACGCUAAUACAUCAAAGAGACAACAUCAAAGAACAGACUCCACAGGGCAGUUUACAUCUUCAUUGUUUGGCCCGACCCUUCUUGUUUGAGGGUGGAUUUUCAAAAUUACUGCUGAAGGCAAUUGGGAGCCUUGAAAGCUUUUAAAGGAGACGGGGUCUCACCACAUUGUCCAGGCUGAUCUCGAACUCCUGACUUCAAGCGAUCUCACCUCGGCCUCCCAAAGUGCUGGGAUUACAGGCAUAAGCCACCGUGCCUGGCCAAUUAUGAACAGACAUUGAUGCAGUUUCCUUCCUGGAGAGGGUACACACUCAGAUCAUGAGACCUAAGAUAAAACACACACUGGAUUGUCAAGAAUCAAACAAGGACUACCAAUGGGAUCUAAUUAAACUAAAGAGCUUCUGCACAGCAAAAGAAACUACCAUCAGGGUGAACAGGCAACCUAC
rnacentral:lncRNA from 1 species